rnacentral:rRNA from 1 species
GACGAACGCUGGCGGCGUGCCUAAUACAUGCAAGUCGAACGGAGUGGCGCACGGGUGAGUAAUGUAUAGCUAAUCUGCCCUACACUAGAGGACAACAGUUGGAAACGGCUGCUAAUACUCUAUAGUGUAGGAUGAGGCUAUAUUGUAUCAGCUAGUUGGUGAGGGAAUGGCGCACCAAGGGUAUGACGAAUAACUGGUCUGAGAGGAUGAUCAGUCACAUCGGAACUGAGACACGGGCCAGACUCCUACGGGAAGCAGCGGUAGGGAAUAGUGGUCAAUGGGGGAGAACCUGAAGCAUCAUCGCCGCGUGGAGGAUGACACUUUUCGGGGCGUAAACUCCUUUUGUUAGGGAAGCGGUACCUGACGAAUAAGCACCGGCUAACUCCGUGCCAGCAGCCGCGGUAAUUC